GGUGUAAUGCCAAAGGACUUCAAAAUGUGAUGCUUAGUGUCUUUUACAAUUUUCCUCUAUUUGUCACUGCAACCAGAUUUGAAACUUGCAAACAAUAGCAGAUUUCAGCCUGCCAAAGUUAGUCUCAGCUUUUUGUUUGAGUUCCUACCCUCUUCAUAGCUUUUAAAUUGACUCAAACCAGACCUAGAUGACAAAACUACAAGGUGUCUUUUGUCAAUAGUUCUAGAAAAUAACCUCUCAUUUUCUCUUAAAAUGCAUUGUUAUAUCUUCUUUGCUGUUCAAACCUGAGCUAUAGGAUAAUAAAAUCUUCUGAAUCACAAGUUUGUUACUA
rnacentral:misc_RNA from 1 species